GGGUCAGUAGGUUGGUCGUGCCACCGGUACGUACUGGUCUCACUGAUUCCUCCCUCCUGAAGAACCGUAAUGCCAUUAAUUUGGUGUUGCGGGGAAACAGGACUGUUACUUUGAAAAAAUUAGAGUGUUUAAAGCAAGCUAACGCUUGAAUACAUUAGCGUGGAAUAAUGAAAUAGGACGAUCGAUCCUAUUUUGUUGGUUUCUAGGAUUGACGUA
rnacentral:rRNA from 1 species